GCCAAAUUCAACAACUCCUUCUUCUUCGUGUCUUUCUGCAAAGGGAAGGUCAGACGCAGCAUACGUACACCUGGAAAUGGGUUUGGCCAAUACAGUCCCCUUGCAGGGACAGCUGUUUUUCAACUUGAGGGGGCCGACGAACACACCGCAACUGAACCUCCGGUGGCUACUCGCCUUG